CCAUAGAUAUAUUGUGAUUUAUUUUCCUCUUAUGACAAGACAUUUUGUUAAUUUCUAAAUGUUUUAGUUUUAUAAAUAACAUUGCAUUGGACAGCUCUAUACAUAGAUAUUUGUAAUAAUUCAACUACUAUUCUUUGAACACUAUUUACUGCUUUGGAUGUUGGAGAUACAUUAGUGAACAAACAGUCCAAAGUCCCUGACCUCAUGGGGAGGAGGAAAGAGAGACAAUAAGGACGUAAACUAUAAAUUACAUCAAAUAGUGAUGAGUACUCUGGAGAAAACUAAAUCAGGGAUGGGGAAUAAGAAGUGAUGAUAUAGGGGCCUUGGGAUUAUAGUUUUAAAUAGGAUGGUCAGGAAAGAAAGAGAAAAUGACAUUUGAUCAAAUACCUGAAGGUGGUGAGGCAGCAAACCAGGUGGAUAUUGGAGAAAAACAUUCCAGGCAAAGAGAAGCAUGUAAAGACCCUGAGUUUGGAGUGGAUCUAGCAUGUUUAAGGAACAGCAGCAAGGAGGCCAGAAUAGCUGACGCGGAGUUCAUAGGAAAGCUGUAGGAGGUGAAGAAGUCCAAGAGGACCUUCUGAUGCUAAGUGGAAUUUGGCCUCUAUGCCCAGAAAUAGGAGAGCAUUGGAGGGUUGUGCACAGAGGGCUAUCUGAUCAUUUUGGCUAUUCUGUGAGAGUAGACUAUAGAGGGUAGAAACGGAAAAGUCAGGAGGUUAUUGCUGUAAUCCAGGUGGGCAAUGAUGUUGGCUUUUGGACAGUGGGGAUAACAGUAAAGGUGGUGAGAAAUGGGUUUUUAUUGGCUUAGUGUGGGGUUUGAGAGAAAGGAGUCAGGGAUGACUUAAGGCAUCUCCAAUUAGUUCCUUAGGAUGAAUGUCAAGAAUGGGAAUUUAUUAAUGGGUUUUUAGAGCUCUUUAUACAUAUGGCCAGAUUGUUCACCUGCAAAGUUAAGUCAGUUUAUAUAUGCAGUAUUCUCCGUGGAAAAACAGUUUACAAAAGUUUUUGAGAGAAACUGUUUCAGCUAGAAUUUUUUAAUAGCUUUGCAAAUUACAUAAGCCUGCAUAGAGAAUUAUUAGAGAUCUGAACCAUUCACUUAAAGCUUGCAUGUAUAUGUUACAACAUUUUAACCAGGAAAAUCUUUCUGAUAGAGAUAGCCAAAGUCUAGGUGAUUCCCUUUUGAGCCUAUACUAUUGAAAUAACUAAAACAUGGAGUGGAAUUUGAUAAAUGCCCCCCCCCAAAAAAAAGAGUUCAAAAUACUAUAAGGAACGUUUACCCAAGGAAAAAGGACAAGAAAGAGGAACUUUAAAAAUUAGCAGAGAAGACGGUAUGGAACAAGGGACCUGACUUGUCAAAGCAAAGAGAAAAGAAUAAUUUCUCUUUUGCUCUUAGAAAAGCAAGUAGGUUUUUAAAAAAAAAUUACCAAAACAUCAAAUGAAGCAAAGACUAAGACUGUUAGAUUGAGAAAGCCAUUGUUGACUUUUAUAAGUCUUUUUAAUGGAAUAUAGAUACAGAAGAAAUAAGGUAAAUUAGAUCACUAGGAGUUUUAGUGAAUGAAGUCAGAGAAUAUAUAACUUCUCUUUUUGCACAAGAAAAUAUGAAGGAAAAACUUGAAUAUGUUUUUAGGUAGAAAAAGAGCAAGGAAAAACUGAGGCUGUGAGAAAGGUAUAAUUGGUAUGGCAGCUCUCUGGAGCAGGAGAGAACAGGGUCAGCUUCAUAGGUGGGGCCAUUAGGAUGUGAAAGAUGGAGCAAUGACUUCUCUGAGACCAGAAAUAAUGACAAGAAUACGAGCAAAGUAACUAGCACAAUUCCCAGUGUGAUGGUUAAUUUUAUGUGUCGACUUGACUGGAUCACAGGAUACCCAGAUAUUUGCUCAAACAUUAUUCUUGGUGUGUCUAUGAGGGUGUUUCUGGAUGAGAUUAACAUUUGAAUCUGUAGACUAAGUAAAGCAAACUGCCAUUCCUAAUGUGGGUGGACCUCAUGCAAUCAGUUGAGGGCUAAAUAGAACAGAAAGGCUAAGUAAGAGAGAGUUCUUUCUGCCUGACUGCCUUUGAGCUGGAACAUUGGUGUUUUUCUGACUUCAGGCUCAAACUGUAAUACUGGCUCUUCUCAGGCCUUGAGCCCACUUGCCUUCAGAUUGCAACUUUACCAUCCGCUGUCCUGGUUCUCAGGCCUUCGGGGAAGACUAGAACUAUACCACUGACUCUCCUGGUCUCCAGUUUUCCAACUUCAAAUCUUGGGAUUUAGUCUCCAUAAUCAUAAAAAGAAAUGGAAACUAAGCAAUAUUAAUUAACAUAGUCCAAGGUCACAAAGCAAAAUGGAAAUAGAACCUGGAUCUGAAUUCAGAGGCAAGAUGCUGGAGAUAGGGUCUUGUUCUGUCGCCCAGGCUUGG